rnacentral:rRNA from 1 species
AUUGAACGCUGGCGGCAGGCCUAACACAUGCAAGUCGAACGAGUGGCGGACGGGUGAGUAAUGUCUGGGAAAAUGCCCGAUGGAGGGAGAUAACUACUGGAAAAUGUCGCUAAUACCGCAUACCAUCGGAUGUGCCCAGAUGGGAUUAGCUAGUAGGUGGGGUAACGGCUCACCUAGGCGACGAUCCCUAGCUGGUCUGAGAGGAUGACCAGUCACUCUGGAACGGUGACGCGGUCUAGACUCCUACGGGAGGCAGCAGUGGGGAACAUUGCACAAUGGGCGCAAGCCUGAUGCAGCCAUGCCGCGUGUAUGAAGAAGGCCUUCGGGUUGUAAAGUACUUUCAGCGAGGAGGCGUUACUCGCAGAAGAAGCACCGGCUAACUCCGUGCCAGCAGCCGCGGUAAUUC